UUUCUUUAAAUUGUUAAUAUACUGAAGCAUAUAAUCUUUAUUGUUGUUUUUAAAUUUCUAACUACAUUCUACAUUUGUAUUAAUGUAUUUCAAACUCUAUUUCAUGGUAAAUGGACAUCUUUGUAUUUUUAUCAAUUAAUUUAGUAAAAUUUCAUAUGCUCCCUAAAUUAGGGGAUAAACUUCAAUAAAAUUGCUAUUCUAGAGAAACGGAGAUAAAAAGGUUCCAAACCUCUCAUACCAUCAUUAUAUGCUAGUUCAUGAUACAUUUAUGCAUUAAAAAAUAUUUUUAUAUUUUUUGUAUUUUUUCUCAAAAUCUAUGAGUUAAACCCCUACAAAAUAUUCAGCUUUUCAGUAAAUUGUUAAUAUACUGAAGCCUAUAAUAUUUAGUGUUUUUUUUUUAAUUUCUAACUACAUUCUACAUUUGUAUUAAUGUAUUCCAAACUCUAUUUCAUGGUAAAUGUGCAUCUUUGUAUUUUUAUCAAUUAACUUAGUAAAACUUCAUAUGCUCCCUAAAUUAGGAGAUAAACUACAAUAAAUUUGUUAUUCUAGUGAAACGGAGAUAAAUAAAAAGGUUCCAAACUUCUCAUACUAUUAUCAUAUGUUAGUUCAUGAUACAAUAAUGCAUUAAAAUUUUUAUAUAUUUUUUAAUUUUUUCUCAAAUCUAUUCGUUAACCCCUACAAAAUAUUCAGUUUUUCUGUAAAUUGUUAAUAUAUUGAAGCCAAUAAUCUUUAAUGUUGUUUUAGAAUUUCUAACUACAUUCUACAUUUGUAUUAUUGUAUUCUAAACUCUCUUUCAUAGUACAUGGACAUCGUUCUAUUUUUUAUCAUUUAAUUUAAUAAAACUUCAUAUGCUCCCUAAAUUAGGAGAUAAACUACAAUAAAAUCUCUAUUAUAUAGAAACGAAGAUUAAGAAAAAAAGGUUCUAAACCUCUCAUACCAUCAUCAUAUACUAGUUCAUGAUACAAUUACGCAUUAAAAAAAUAUUGUUAUAUUUUCUGAAAUUUUCUCAAUAUCUAUGUGUUAACCCCUACAAAAUAUUCAGUUUUUCUGUAAAUUGUUAAUAUACUGAAAGCCUAUAAUCUUUAGUGUUGUUUUAAAAUUUCUAACUACAUUCUACAUUUGUAUCAAUGUAUUUCAAACUCUAUUUCAUGGUAUAUGGGUAUUUUUGUAUUUUUAUCAAAUAAUUUAGUAAAACUUCAUAUGCUUCCUAAAUUAGAAAAUAAACUACAAUAAAAUUGCUAUUCUAGAGAAACGGAGAUAAGAAAAGGUUUUAAAUCUCUUAUACCAUCAUCAUAUGCUAGUUCAUGAUAUAAUUAUGCAUUAAAAAUAUGUAUAUUUUUUAUUUUAUUUUCAAAAUCUAUGGAUUAACUCCUGUAAUAGUAACGUAAAGUUCAAUUUCCACCGAUUUCUCUAACAACAACAAGAUUAAAGAAACUCUUGCAUAAGAAAACACUUUACUUUCACAUCAUACUACUUUGAACUCGGGUGUUUUUGUAAAGCCUUUGGUAUGGGCUGCGUUUGAAACACCGAGGCCCACAUCAUUCAUUCCCAAAAUUACCAAAACCCUUUUCUUAUAAUUCAAGCUCUGCUUUAACAUUCAUUCACCAUAACCUAGUAAGCCGCCGCCAUCGCGACCUCUCCCUCUCUUUUUAAUAGGGAGCAACUCUUUUGUGUAGCUCUGUCUCUCCUAUCUCCUUACAACUGCUCUUUCGUCCUCUGUGUGUUUUCUUUCGUUUCUUUUUUGCAAUAAUUCCUGAUGAGGAUAACAUAUCUAAAGCUAUGGAUCUGAUAUUUCAGAUUCAUAUGAUGCUAUAUUGUCAUAGUUACUCUGAUGGGAAAUUAUUUGUGUUCUUUUUUCUUGUGAAACAUUGAAUCUCUGACAUAGUUAGGUUGACAUUCAAAAUAUAGGGCAACCUUUUGCCGAGGAGAUUAUGAGAUUGAAUCUGUUGAUCUACCUCUUUUUCCCUGUUGCCAAUAUAAUUUCAUAUGCAUUAUUACAUAAGCUUGCUUUAUAGUUUAAGACCAAUUCCUAUAAGCUUUUAUGUUUUUGCUACAGAACAAAAUAAUUUUUUUAGUAUUGUUUUGAAUACAAGAGGCAACUUUUUGCCGAGUGAAUCGAAUAUCGAUCUCUCUCUUUUUCCCAGUUGCCUAAAUCAUGUUAUGGCCGCCUGAGAGGAAUUCGCUGAUUGGUUAUGUAAUUUCAAAGUAUCCAAUCUUUUCCUCUUUGCUGCUACAUUUUGUUUUGCUCCAAUUACUCAAUCUACUAUUCAUUGUGAAUUCAUAAAUUUUUCCUAUGAUACAAGAUAAAACGUUUCCUGAUAACUUUACGAUUUUGAGAUUGAGCACGUGACGAGACCACUACUUUGGGUUCAUAGGCAUAGUUCAUCUAGUUAAGAACAUGAUCAAGAUAUGUUCUCAUUUGGACUGAAUAAUUCCCAAUGGCCAAAAUAAUUAGGAGAAUUAAUUAAAAGUACCGGGGGAUUUCAACCUAACAUUGCUGGACCAGCUGAUCGCGGAGCCGGAGCUGAAGAACAUCGGGUGCUGCAACGAGCUAGGCUGCGGAUGGAUACGCUCGAUCUCGCGGGGUGGGGGACUGAGCGUGUUGAACGCGAUCGCGGGAGCCUAGAGCGAGAAUCUGCCGGUUAUAUGUAUAGAACAACUUGGAAGAUGCUCAUGAACAGAUCGACAAGGCCAUCUCAACAGCUCUUAUAGAGAGCAAGCCUGUUUAUAUCAGCAUCAGCUGCAACUUAGCUGCUACUCCUCAUCCUACUUUCAUCCGUGACCCUGUCCCCUUUUCUCCAACGUUGGAGUUUCUCAACAAGGCCGUUGGAGACCAGUGUUGGCUUUCAUCGGAGAUGGGAGUUUCCAAGUGACGGCUCAGGACGUAUCCACCAUGCUGCGCAACGGCCAGAAAACAAUCAUAUUCCUGAUUAACAACGGUGGCUACACCAUUGAAGUGGAGAUUCAUGACGGUCCAUACAACGUGAUCAAGAACUGGAACUACACUGGUCUCGUCGAUGCCAUUCAUAACGGUGAAGGCAAAUGCUGGACCGCAAAGGUGAGAUUCGAGGAGGAGUUGGUGGAAGACAGCUACAACGGAGAAGAAAGAUAGUCUUUGUUUCAUUGAAGUGAUUCUUCACAAAGAUGAUACGAGCAAAGAGUUGCUUGAGUGGGGCUCACGCGUUGCUGCUGCUAAUGGCCGUCCUCCCAACCCUCAGUACGGAACGAAUCUUUUGAGUGAGACUCACUCACGCAUCUUAAUCUUUUCUUCAUGAGUUUGUUUGCCCAUUGUUUUUUUUUUCCGUCAAGGUUUUUUGAUAUUAUAUAAA